UACAGAGAGUGCAAGCGUUAAUCGGAAUCACUGGGCGUAAAGCGCGCGUAGGUGGAUAUUUAAGUCGAAUGUGAAAUCCCCGGGCUUAACCUGAACUGCAUCCGAUACUGGAAGUCUUGAGUCCGGGAGAGGUGAGUGGAACUCCGAGUGUAGAGGUGAAAUUCGUAGAUAUUCGGAAGAACACCAGUGGCGAAGGCGGCUCACUGGCCCGGUACUGACGCUGAGAUACGAAAGCGUGGGGAGCAAACAGG
rnacentral:rRNA from 1 species